AUUGAACGCUGGCGGCAGGCUUAACACAUGCAAGUCGAGCGGGGUGAUGGUGCUUGCACUAUCACUUAGCGGCGGACGGGUGAGUAAUGCUUAGGAAUCUGCCUAUUAGUGGGGGACGACUUCUCGAAAGGGAUGCUAAUACCGCAUACGUCCUACGGGAGAAAGCGGGGGAUCACUUGUGACCUUGCGCUAAUAGAUGAGCCUAAGUCGGAUUAGCUAGUUGGUGGGGUAAAGGCCUACCAAGGCGACGAUCUGUAGCGGGUCUGAGAGGAUGAUCCGCCACACUGGGACUGAGACACGGCCCAGACUCCUACGGGAGGCAGCAGUGGGGAAUAUUGGACAAUGGGGGGAACCCUGAUCCAGCCAUGCCGCGUGUGUGAAGAAGGCCUUAUGGUUGUAAAGCACUUUAAGCGAGGAGGAGGCUCUUUUGGUUAAUACCCAAGAUGAGUGGACGUUACUCGCAGAAUAAGCACCGGCUAACUCUGUGCCAGCCGCCGCGGUAA
rnacentral:rRNA from 1 species